AGGGUUCGAUUCUGGCUCAGGAUGAACGCUGGCGGCGUGCUUAACACAUGCAAGUCGAACGGGAUCCAUCAGGCUUUGCUUGGUGGUGAGAGUGGCGAACGGGUGAGUAAUGCGUGACCGACCUGCCCCAUGCACCGGAAUAGCUCCUGGAAACGGGUGGUAAUGCCGGAUGCUCCAUCACAUCGCAUGGUGUGUUGGGAAAGCCUUUGCGGCAUGGGAUGGGGUCGCGUCCUAUCAGCUUGAUGGCGGGGUAACGGCCCACCAUGGCUUCGACGGGUAGCCGGCCUGAGAGGGCGACCGGCCACAUUGGGACUGAGAUACGGCCCAGACUCCUACGGGAGGCAGCAGUGGGGAAUAUUGCACAAUGGGCGCAAGCCUGAUGCAGCGACGCCGCGUGAGGGAUGGAGGCCUUCGGGUUGUAAACCUCUUUUGUUAGGGAGCAAGGCACUUUGUGUUGAGUGUACCUUUCGAAUAAGCACCGGCUAACUACGUGCCAGCAGCCGCGGUAAUACGUAGGGUGCAAGCGUUAUCCGGAAUUAUUGGGCGUAAAGGGCUCGUAGGCGGUUCGUCGCGUCCGGUGUGAAAGUCCAUCGCUUAACGGUGGAUCCGCGCCGGGUACGGGCGGGCUUGAGUGCGGUAGGGGAGACUGGAAUUCCCGGUGUAACGGUGGAAUGUGUAGAUAUCGGGAAGAACACCAAUGGCGAAGGCAGGUCUCUGGGCCGUUACUGACGCUGAGGAGCGAAAGCGUGGGGAGCGAACAGGAUUAGAUACCCUGGUAGUCCACGCCGUAAACGGUGGAUGCUGGAUGUGGGGCCCGUUCCACGGGUUCCGUGUCGGAGCUAACGCGUUAAGCAUCCCGCCUGGGGAGU
rnacentral:rRNA from 1 species